rnacentral:rRNA from 1 species
UACGAAGGGGGCUAGCGUUGCUCGGAAUCACUGGGCGUAAAGCGCACGUAGGCGGAUUGUUAAGUCGGGGGUGAAAUCCUGGAGCUCAACUCCAGAACUGCCUUCGAUACUGGCGAUCUUGAGUCCGGGAGAGGUGAGUGGAACUCCGAGUGUAGAGGUGAAAUUCGUAGAUAUUCGGAAGAACACCAGUGGCGAAGGCGGCUCACUGGACCGGUACUGACGCUGAUGCGCGAAAGCGUGGGGAGCAAACGGG